UCUCCAAACUUUGUAUGGUUGUGAUAGAAAGGCAAGCACACAGGAUAGCAUAGUCGAAGUGGAAAGCAAGCGUAAUUAAGCCUUUCUAGGGUUGGAAUUUGGAAACGUCCAAUAAAUACGGGCGAGGCUGAAAAUAGAAUUUGACUUGUUUGAUCCGGAAUUGGAUGAAGGAGAAGGCAAAGCAACAAAAGUAGGCAACGGAAAACGACGCCGUAGAUCAAUUGAAGGAUGGUGCUGAACAGCAACGUGGUGGCCAGAGUGGCGCACGCAUCAGCGCAUCUUUGUCAAUUCAUAGCUUGCAAUCCCCAGAGGCUCAGCAGCGACGUCGUUUUGCGCAUCCUCUUCUGCCUCCCUUUCCAACACUUGUUUCGCUCUCUCUCCUCCUACCUUCGCCAUCACUCCGAUUGAACUUCCCAUUCCCCUCUCUCCGUUGUUGAGCAAUUGGUGUGCUAGGGAGCUUUUGAUGGAGCCAAGUAGGUGAGAUGAAGUGAUGAUUCCUCCUUGCUUGGUUCCGCAAAUGAUCUUAGUCUUUGAGUCCACAAUUCUGGAAAGAAAGUAGGAGAAGGAAGCUAGAUUCAGAUGAACCAAACCUUAGAUUGAAGCACUCAAGCUAAGAGUGCAAGGGAUUGCUCACGAAAUAGCUUUAGAAGUGGAGGAUUCCUAAAGCUAAGCUAAGCAACUAAAGAGACUCUUAGAGAGAAAAUGGUUGAAGAAUGUAUUCAGAUUUCUCUAUGCUCAAAAGUGAUUACACAAGGGAAGGUUCACACAUUUAUAGCCACAGAUUCUACUCAAAUUUGGCGCCAUCUCAAAGCUCACAAGUUGGCGUCGGAUUUUGAAUUCAAAUUUGAAAUUUGAAUUCAAAAUUCGUGAUCACCCAUGUGCUCAUCAAGUGACCGGCCAAUUUGAAUCUCUAAAUUACAUUUAGAUGUAAUUUAGAGUGCAUUUAUUUAAUCACAUGUGCAACCACCCUUAGCACAAAUCAUGUGACUCAAAUGCAACUUUAUUUACUUCUAAAUGUAAUUAGAAUCCUAGGUACCAUAUUGGGUACCAAAAGCUCAAAGGCCCAUGAAGCCCAAAACUAGGCCCAUUAAGCCUAAGACCCAAAAUUCCUAUACUAGAGGACCAUAAUACAAAACCAACAAAUAUGAAAUCCUACACUACUCAAAACACAAUAAAGAUGGUGGUCCAUGUAAAGCCCAUGUGAAGAGUACCUUGGGCCCACCAAGCCUAUUGGGCCCACCAAGCUCUGAAGUAGUCAAAUCUUCCGGUAGUCUCCUUCCCAUAGCUCUAGUGGUUGGACUCUUGGUCCAUGCUCUUCCAUCAGCUUUGAAGCCCGGAGUCGGAUUCUCAUUCCAUUUUUCUUCUUCUUCUUCUUCUUCAACCUUGGAAUAGCCCGGAGUUUGUCGUUCACUUCAUUCGAAGGGCAUUGAUAGGCUGGAGAGUAACAAUGGAGCCCACAAGUGCGGUGCUUGAAGUUGGAUUUUAUUUUGUAGACUAUCGAUUGUUGGUAGAUACUUUUGCAUAGAUAUUUGUAUAUACUUGCUAGGCAAGCAACACAGUUGUUCAUAUUCAUGAGAUGUAGAUGUACUUAUAUUAUAUUACUGUUUCGGUAUAUAUAUAUGCGUGGUUAUUUGUGUGUUACGUAAUGUGA